GAUAAUCCCAUUUGAAAACACACUUGUUCACACUUCUUGCAGAUUGCCGAUUAUGAUUUGAUUCUUUAAAUAUUUUUAAUUUAACGUUUAUAAAUAUAAUCGUUUUUUUAUGAAUUAGCGGAGAGAAACAUGGAUUUAUUGAUUAAUUUUGGUACCAAACGUGUAAGUACUUAAUAAAAGCCUUUGAAAAGUGUUUU
ensembl:ncRNA F56F3.7 ncRNA